UUUAGUUCUAGUUUUUCUUGCGAUACUGAGAUUGAUUCGUUGUAACUGUGGCGACAAAUCCUUGUACAGUGAUCCAGGGCCCCCGUUCUUGAUCUCCUCCACUGUGUCAAUUAGUCCUUUGGAAUUGAGUUCUUGAACCCCUACUUUACCUUCGCUUCAUUCAUACUUGCAAUUUUAGAUUGCAUGUUUAUACUUUCUUGCUUGUGUUCUUCGAUUUGCUUGUAGGAAAAGCCUUCUUGGCGAGGGCAAUCAAGUUGUGCUUGGUUGAUAACUAACAGAGCGGUGGUGUAACGGUUGCAGGCUUCGAAUUCGUGUCUGAUCAGAAGCCGGAUUGCCAACGUCACGUACUCCACCAAUCGAAUUUACCCUACCUCUCGGAAGAUCGGGCCGCGUCUACACCAUGUUCUCCUUUUGAGCUUCGCUGUCUUUAUUAUUUUCCCUACUAAUAUCUUGGAUUGCCCGAACAAGAUCUGGUCGAGGAGUCCGAAAGGAAGUACUUGGACCUCCAAUCUGCAAAGGCAGUCUUUGUUGAAGAGCAUGAGAAAGUGGUCCGGGAGUUGAAAGAGUUGCAGGAUCGCCAUCAAGAGGAGCUAAAGAAGAGAUCCAAGAGUGGCAUCUUGCUGAACUCCAGAAGCUCCAGGACACCAAGCGCAAGUUCCUGAAGGAGCAGAAAGAUGCCAACAAGGUGCUGUAGAAGAAGCUGAAGGAUGCUGAUCUUCAGAUGGUGGAGUCCAUGAAGAAGAUUUAGGAACUAUCAGCUGAAGUCAAGGACCUCAGGAAGAUCCGGUAUGCGGCUGGGAGUCUGAUUGAUUUGGUCGAUCCUGUUACUGAGGACUCGGCGGUGGAGCGGUCCCUUUUGCAGGAGGCUCCUAGAGAGAUGUCGGCAUACAUGACGGAGACCACGAAGUCGUAUGUCUCGAUUGCAUUCGGUUGCUGAAGUCCUGAUACGACGAGAUUGACUUGCAGUUGCUCACCGGUGGGAUGGCAGCUGACUGCUCGGACGAGCGCUUCGAGGAAUACUUGAAGGAAGCCUGGUCUUUUGCUAAAAAAAUGUAGAUGAUAUUGAACAACAAGAGUAGGUCCUGUAUUGUACUAAACCAUUUCCUUGCUUUUAGUUGUUUUCGUCUCCAAAAAUUGUUGGCUGGUUUCUCUUUUGGUUUGAGAGUAGGUCCGGUACAUUUACUCGUGGGUCAUGCUUAGAGUAACUGCUUUUGUAACUUAUCGGUUGUGUGGCGCGUCGUGUACUUGGUUCGUGAUAAGUACUCGGAGCCUACCUGAUAGGGGUAGUAUUGGUAUUUCAACAA